GGGGGCGACAAGGCUUCGACGUGGACGCUGAAGUAAGAGGAGCAUACCGGGGCGCAUGAGGACCUCGUUAAAAACGUGCAAACUUGUACUAUCAAACGAUAGCUACGCUUUAGCAGCUUAGUUCUGCUACGAUGGUUAGGCGAAUCGCCGGUGUUGGUUUAACUCAUCGUCAUUAAUGCCGGAUCGGUCUGCAUGGUUUUCUCCAGCGUGCAGGCCUAAGAGUUUCUGGGGGAAUGUUAGUGGUCAGUUUGUCUUUGGACGUGCCGCUAACAAAUUAAAACAGAGACUAAGUAUGUAGCGCCUCUUCAUGGAUCGUUUGCGGACCCGGGUUCGAUUCCCGGCGCCUCCACCA
rnacentral:tmRNA from 1 species